UAGGAACUAUAUUUUAGGGAUCAUUUCUCUGGUUCUCUGGCUUGGAAAUGUAUUUUGAAAGUGUUUGUCUCCCAACCCAUGACGAUGAGCUAUGAUACUCCAUUCACAAGAGAGUGAAUUGAGACGGAACUCUGGCUUUGUUCACACAAGCUCUGUCGAUUGAUGAGGCGUUCCUUAUUGUGGCAAUGUUGAAGAAAAGAGUAUGCAGUCUGAGUGGU
ensembl:snoRNA U3 Small nucleolar RNA U3